UUCAAGUGCAAUCUCUAGCCAAGUUCUCUUUGUUGUUGUGUUGAAUUUUGAGGAAAGGCGGCCAAGCAGCUCGUGGCAUCUGUGUCACGCCUGCUCUGCCGCUGCCUUGACCCGCCGACGACGUCGCCAGUUGAGCCGCAAGGGUGCAAGAUCAUCGUGGGGCCCAUUGCAUGGGCUCCGAGUAUGCUUGAUUGCCAUGUCGGAGGCGAAGGUGCUAGAGCUUGGUGGCGUGUUUGCAUUUCUGGAUGCAUGAAUAAUUGUCAAGGAGGCUGAAGCCAGCGCUAUUACAGUUGGAUUGAAGGAAUUGUAUAACGUAUUUUGAGGCUCCUUGGUGGUGGAGAUCGACUACGCAGUGGGGAGAUGAGCUAGGGGCUGAUUCUAACUGUCAAGAGGGACAAACAAUGGGCUGGCUCAUGAACUAGCCAAUGAUGCUAAAGCUCAUGGAGACCUUGUGGUUGCGUAUGGUGUCCCGGACCAACUCCAUGAUCAGCUCUGGAAGGAAAACAAUGCAGCCUUGACGUUGGCCUAAGUCUUGAUGUAAUCCUCAAAAAAGAUACUGCUUGCAGACAUGUUAUACAUAAACAUGCAUGUUGUAGGUCUGUUAAUUUUAAUUUUGAAUACUGAGAUCUAUUCAGAUGCUUUCCUUACUCUUAUGGCUAAAAAAAUCCAGCAGACAGUGACUGAAAUUUGUUAGUUUCACUCAACGUGCUGCUGCUU